rnacentral:rRNA from 1 species
GAUGAACGCUGGCGGCGUGCCUAAUACAUGCAAGUCGAGCGAACAGACGAGGAGCUUGCUCCUCUGACGUUAGCGGCGGACGGGUGAGUAACACGUGGAUAACCUACCUAUAAGACUGGGAUAACUUCGGGAAACCGGAGCUAAUACCGGAUAAUAUAUUGAACCGCAUGGUUCAAUAGUGAAAGCCGGUUUUGCUGUCACUUAUAGAUGGAUCCGCGCCGCAUUAGCUAGUUGGUAAGGUAACGGCUUACCAAGGCAACGAUGCGUAGCCGACCUGAGAGGGUGAUCGGCCACACUGGAACUGAGACACGGUCCAGACUCCUACGGGAGGCAGCAGUAGGGAAUCUUCCGCAAUGGGCGAAAGCCUGACGGAGCAACGCCGCGUGAGUGAUGAAGGUCUUCGGAUCGUAAAACUCUGUUAUUAGGGAAGAACAAAUGUGUAAGUAACUAUGCACGUCUUGACGGUACCUAAUCAGAAAGCCCCGGCUAACUACGUG